GCUGGAGUGCAAUGGCAUGAUCUUGGCUCACUGCAACCUCCGCCUCCUGGGUUCAAGCGAUUCUCCUGCCUCAGCCUUCCAAAUAGGUCAUACAAGUUACUGAUAAGGUGACAAGAUGGAAGAUCACUUCUCACAAAGAUGAUGCCUUCUCACAAAGACUAAAAGGUUUCCAGAUAGAUUUGAGCUCUUUCCUUAUUGUGCACCAAUGAUAUCACAUGGCCCUCUCAUCCCAACCCCUAGAGGAGCCUCAGUGAAUCAAAGGCAUAUCAAGAUUACAGAGCACUAUAUGUAAAUGAAGGGAUAGGUGAAGACUAAAUACCCUCAGAUUUAAAAAGCCUGUAGAAUGAUUUCUAAUCCUUUGGGUAUAAAGACACAAGCACAUGUAUGCUUAUUGCAGCACUAUUUUCAAUAGCAAAACUUGGAACCAACCCAAAUGCCCAUCAAUGAUAGACCGGAUAAAGAAAAUGUGGCACAUAUACACCAUGGAAUACCAUGCAGCCAUAAAAAAGAAUGAGUUCAUGUCCUUUAUAGGGACAUGGAUGAAGCUGGAAACCAUCAUCCUCAGCAAACUAACACAGGAACAGAAAACCAAAUACCGCAUGUUCUCACUCAUAAGUGGAAGUUGAACAAUGAGAACACAUGGACACAGGGAGGGGAACAUCACACACUGGGGCCUGUCAGGAGUGGAGGGAAAGAGGAGGGAGAGCAUUAGGACAAAUACCUAAUGUACACAGGGCUUAAAACCUAGAUGACGGGUUGAUAGGUGCAGCAAACCAUCAUGGUACAUGUAUAUCUGUGUAACAAACCUGCA
rnacentral:lncRNA from 1 species